rnacentral:rRNA from 1 species
AUACGUAGGUGGCGAGCGUUGUCCGGAAUUAUUGGGCGUAAAGGGCGCGUAGGCGGGAUAGUCAGUCUGUUGUAAAAGUUCGGGGCUCAACCCCGUAUAGGCGCAGGAAACUGGAGAUCUUGAGUGCAGGAGAGGAAAGUGGAAUUCCCAGUGUAGCGGUGAAAUGCGUAGAUAUUGGGAGGAACACCAGUGGCGAAGGCGACUUUCUGGACUGUGUCUGACACUGAGGCGCGAAAGCCAGGGGAGC